rnacentral:rRNA from 1 species
UACGUAGGGGGCUAGCGUUGUCCGGAAUCAUUGGGCGUAAAGAGCGUGUAGGCGGCCCGAUAAGUCCGCUGUGAAAGUCCAGGGCUCAACCCUGGGAUGCCGGUGGAUACUGUCGGGCUCGAGUCCGGAAGAGGAGUGUGGAAUUCCUGGUGUAGCGGUGAAAUGCGCAGAUAUCAGGAGGAACACCAAUGGCGAAGGCAGCACUCUGGGACGUGGCUGACGCUGAGACGCGAAAGCGUGGGGAGCAAACAGG